UCAUAGUUAUCUCCCGUUUAUGUUCUUCUUUCCCGCCAGCCAACGGAAUUCUGGGAACACGUGAAUUUUUCAAGAUGGCAGAAAAAGAAGAUGAACCCACUCCGGCAGAAGAUAUUGUUGUCACCAAGUAUAAAAUGGCCGGUGACAUGGUCAAUGGUAUAUUGAAGGAGGUUAUAGGAAAGUGUGUAGAUGGAGCAUCUGUCCUUAGUAUAUGUGUGUUUGGAGACACCAGAUUAAAUGAAGAGACGGGAAAAGUGUUCAAAAAAAGAUAAAAAAAUGAAAAAAGGUAUUGCCUUCCCAACAUGUGUCUCAGUAAAUAAUUGCAUUUGCCAUUUUUCCCUUCCCCUCAAAAGUGAUCCAGAUGUGACCAAUAAAAGAAUGGUGAUGUAGUUAAAAUUGAUUUGGGAGCACAAAUAGAUGGUUUUAUUGCAGUUGUUGCUCAUACACUAGUAGUGGGAGCAUCAGAGAGUAACAAGGUAACUGGUCGUAAAGCAGAUGUAAUGAUGGCAGCAGUUAAUGCAGCAGAAAUAGCUUUACGUAUGGUCAAACCUGGUGCUGAGAAUUACACAGUUACAGAUGGUAUACAGAGAGUAGCAGAGGCAUUUAAAUGUAAACCUAUUGAAGGUUAGU